rnacentral:rRNA from 1 species
AACGAACGCUGGCGGCAUGCCUAACACAUGCAAGUCGAACGAGACCUUCGGGUCUAGUGGCGCACGGGUGCGUAACGCGUGGGAACCUGCCCUUAGGUUCGGAAUAACUCCCCGAAAGGGGUGCCAAUACCGGAUAAUGUCUUCGGACCAAAGAUUUAUCGCCUUUGGAUGGGCCCGCGUUGGAUUAGCUAGUUGGUAGGGUAAAAGCCUACCAAGGCGACGAUCCAUAGCUGGUCUGAGAGGAUGAUCAGCCACACUGGGACUGAGACACGGCCCAGACUCCUACGGGAGGCAGCAGUGGGGAAUAUUGGACAAUGGGCGAAAGCCCGAUCCAGCAAUGCCGCGUGAGUGAUGAAGGCCUUAGGGUUGUAAAGCUCUUUUACCCGGGAUGAUAAUGACAGUACCGGGAGAAUAAGCUCCGGCUAACUCCGUG